UACAGAGGGGGCAAGCGUUGUUCGGAAUUACUGGGCGUAAAGAGCUCGUAGGUGGUUUGUCGCGUUGUUCGUGAAAUCUCACGGCUUAACUGUGAGCGUGCGGGCGAUACGGGCAGACUGGAGUACUGCAGGGGAGACUGGAAUUCCUGGUGUAGCAGUGAAAUGCGUAGAUAUCAGGAGGAAUACCGAUGGCGAAGGCAGGUCUCUGGGCUGACACUGACGCUCAUGCACGAAAGCGUGGGGAGCAAACAGG
rnacentral:rRNA from 1 species